rnacentral:rRNA from 1 species
CCCUUAGAGUUUGAUCCUGGCUCAGGAUGAACGCUGGCGGCGUGCCUAACACAUGCAAGUCGAACGAAGCUCCUGCGACAGAUUCCUUCGGGAUGAAGAUGCUUGAGACUUAGUGGCGGACGGGUGAGUAACGCGUGGGUAACCUGCCCUGUACUGGGGGACAACAGUUAGAAAUGACUGCUAAUACCGCAUAAGCCUACAGAGUCGCAUGACUCAGCAGGAAAAAUUCCGGUGGUACAGGAUGGGCCCGCGUCUGAUUAGCUAGUUGGUGAGGUAAUGGCUCACCAAGGCGACGAUCAGUAGCCGGCUUGAGAGAGUGAACGGCCACAUUGGGACUGAGACACGGCCCAAACUCCUACGGGAGGCAGCAGUGGGGAAUAUUGCACAAUGGGGGAAACCCUGAUGCAGCAACGCCGCGUGAGUGAAGAAGUAUUUCGGUAUGUAAAGCUCUAUCAGCAGGGAAGAA